rnacentral:rRNA from 1 species
UACGUAGGGUCCGAGCGUUGUCCGGAAUUAUUGGGCGUAAAGGGCUCGUAGGCGGUUUGUCACGUCGGGAGUGAAAACUCAGGGCUCAACCCUGAGCGUGCUUCCGAUACGGGCAGACUAGAGGUAUGCAGGGGAGAACGGAAUUCCUGGUGUAGCGGUGGAAUGCGCAGAUAUCAGGAGGAACACCGAUGGCGAAGGCGGUUCUCUGGGCAUUACCUGACGCUGAGGAGCGAAAGCAUGGGGAGCGAACAGG